ensembl:snRNA U12 U12 minor spliceosomal RNA
AUGCUUUAAACUUAUGGGUAAGGAAAAUAACGAUCCUGGGUGACACCCGGAUCCUCACUGCUAGUGUGAGACAAAUUUUUAGGGGUAAAGGUUGUCCUAAGGUGACCCGCCUACUUUGCAGGAUGCCUGGGUGUUGCAAUCUGCCUG